rnacentral:rRNA from 1 species
GUUGUUAACGUCACAGCUGGCAGGUAUUAACUACCAACCUUUCCUCACAACUGAAAGUGCUUUACAACCCAAGGCCUUCUUCACACACGCGGCAUGGCUGCAUCAGGGUUUCCCCCAUUGUGCAAUAUUCCCC